rnacentral:rRNA from 1 species
AAGAGUUUGAUCCUGGCUCAGGAUGAACGCUAGCUACAGGCUUAACACACGCAAGUCGAGGGGCAGCAUGGUCUUAGCUUGCUAAGGCCGAUGGCGACCGGCGCACGGGUGAGUAACGCGUAUCCAACCUGCCUUACACUCUUGGACAACCUUCUGAAAGGGAGAUUAAUACAAGAUGUUAUCAUGAGUAAGCAUUUUCGCAUGAUUAAAGGUUUACCGGUGUAAGAUGGGGAUGCGUUCCAUUAGAUAGUAGGCGGGGUAACGGCCCACCUAGUCUUCGAUGGAUAGGGGUUCUGAGAGGAAGGUCCCCCACAUUGGAACUGAGACACGGUCCAAACUCCUACGGGAAGCAGCAGUGAGGAAUAUUGGUCAAUGGACGAGAGUCUGAACCAGCCAAGUAGCGUGAAGGAUGAAGGUUCUAUGGAUUGUAAACUUCUUUUAUACGGGAAUAAACGAAUCCACGCGUGGAUUUUUGCAUGUACCGUAUGAAUAAGGAUCGGCUAACUCCGUGCCAGCAGCCGCGGUAAUACGGAGGAUCCGAGCGUUAUCCGGAUUUAUUGGGUUUAAAGGGAGCGUAGAUGGGUUGUUAAGUCAGUUGUGAAAGUUUGCGGCUCAACCGUAAAAUUGCAAUUGAUACUGGCAGUCUUGAGUACAGUUGAGGUAGGCGGAAUUCGUGGUGUAGCGGUGAAAUGCUUAGAUAUCACGAAGAACUCCGAUUGCGAAGGCAGCUUACUAACCUGUAACUGACAUUGAUGCUCGAAAGUGUGGGUAUCAAACAGGAUUAGAUACCCUGGUAGUCCACACGGUAAACGAUGAAUACUCGCUGUAGGCGAUAUACAGUCUGCGGCCAAGCGAAAGCAUUAAGUAUUCCACCUGGGGAGUACGCCGGCAACGGUGAAACUCAAAGGAAUUGACGGGGGCCCGCACAAGCGGAGGAACAUGUGGUUUAAUUCGAUGAUACGCGAGGAACCUUACCCGGGCUUAAAUUGCAACCGAAUAUGGCGGAAACGCUAUAGCUAGCAAUAGCGGUUGUGAAGGUGCUGCAUGGUUGUCGUCAGCUCGUGCCGUGAGGUGUCGGCUUAAGUGCCAUAACGAGCGCAACCCUUGCCGAUAGUUACUAACAGGUUAUGCUGAGGACUCUGUCGGGACUGCCAUCGUAAGAUGUGAGGAAGGUGGGGAUGACGUCAAAUCAGCACGGCCCUUACGUCCGGGGCUACACACGUGUUACAAUGGGGGGUACAGAGGGCUGCUACCACGCAAGUGGAUGCCAAUCCCAAAAACCUCUCUCAGUUCGGAUUGAAGUCUGCAACCCGACUUCAUGAAGCUGGAUUCGCUAGUAAUCGCGCAUCAGCCACGGCGCGGUGAAUACGUUCCCGGGCCUUGUACACACCGCCCGUCAAGCCAUGGGAGCCGGGGGUACCUGAAGUGCGUAACCGCAAGGAGCGCCCUAGGGUAAAACUGGUGACUGGGGCUAAGUCGUAACAAGGUAGCCG